rnacentral:rRNA from 1 species
GAAUCUUCGGAAACAGAGAGAGAUGAGGGAAAGUGGCGAACGGGUGAGCAAUACAUGGGUAAUCUGCCCUUCUCUUGGGAAUAACCCCGCGAAAGCGGGGCUAAUACCGAAUGUGAUUGUCUUUUCAUAUGAAGAGGCAAUUAAAGGUGAUGAAUAAUUGCCGGAGAAGGAGGAACUCAUGUUCUAUUAGCUAGUUGGUAGGGUAACGGCCUACCAAGGCUGAGAUGGAUAGCCGGCCUGAGAGGGUAGUCGGCCACAUUGGGACUGAGACACUGCCCAGACUCCUACGGGAGGCUGCAGUCGAGAAUCUUUUGCAAUGGGCGAAAGCCUGACAAAGCGACGCCGCGUGAGUGAUGAAGGCCUUCGGGUUGUAAAACUCUGUUGCUUGUGAUGAAAGCUUUUAUUUUUAUAGUAAAAGUCUGACGGUAGCAAGCGAGGAAGCUAUGGCUAACCCCGUGCCAGCAGCCGCGGUAAUACGGGGAUAGCGAGCGUUUUUCGGAAUUACUGGGCGUAAAGGGCGUACAGGUGGUUAAAUGGGUUAGGCAUGAAAUCCCUUGGCUUAACUAAGGAACUGUGUCUAAAACUAUUUAACUUGAGUACAGGAGAGGAGAGUGGAAUUCCCAGUGUAGCGGUGAAAUGCGUAGAUAUUGGGAGGAACACCGGUGGCGAAAGCGGCUCUCUGGCCUGAUACUGACACUUACGCGCGAAAGCUAGGGGAGCAAACAGGAUUAGAUACUCUGGUAGUCCUAGCUGUAAACGAUGGGUACUAGGUGUAAGAGGUUUUAACCCCUUUUGUGCCGAAGCUAACGCAUUAAGUACCCCGCCUGGGGGAGUACGACCGCAAGGUUGAAACUCAAAGGAAUUGACGGGGGCCCGCACAAGAAGUGAGCAUGUGGUUUAAUUUCGAUGCUACGCGAAAAACCUUACCGGGGUUUGACAUUUA